GACGAACGCUGGCGGCGUGCUUAACACAUGCAAGUCGAACGGAAAGGCCCUGCUUUUGUGGGGUGCUCGAGUGUCGAACGGGUGAGUAACACGUGAGUAACCUGCCCUUGACUUUGGGAUAACUUCAGUAAACUGGGGCUAAUACCGGAUAGGAGCUCCUGCUGCAUGGUGGGGGUUGGAAAGUUUCGGCGGUUGGGGAUGGACUCGCGGCUUAUCAGCUUGUUGGUGGGGUAGUGGCUUACCAAGGCUUUGACGGGUAGCCGGCCUGAGGGGGUGACCGGCCGCAUUGGGACUGAGAUGAGGCCGAGACUACUACGGGAGGAAGCAGUGGGGAAUAUUGCACAAUGGGCGGAAGCAUGAUGAAGCAACGCCGCGUGGGGGAUGACGGCCUUCGGGUUGUAGACCGCUUUCGCCUGUGACGAAGAGUGAGUGACGGUAAUGGGUAAAGAAGCACCGGCUAACUACGUG
rnacentral:rRNA from 1 species